CCUACGGGAGGCAGCAGUAGGGAAUUUUCGGCAAUGGGGGGAACCCUGACCGAGCAACGCCGCGUGAAGGAAGAAGGAAUUCGUUCUGUAAACUUCUGUUAUAAAGGAAGAAAGACGGAUGGAGGAAAUGACAUCCGAGUGACGGUACCUUAUGAGAAAGCCACGGCUAACUACGUGCCAGCAGCCGCGGUAAUACGUAGGUGGCAAGCGUUAUCCGGAAUUAUUGGGCGUAAAGCGAGAGCAGGGGGCAGCAAAGGUCUGGGGUAAAAGACGGAAGCAUAACGUCAGUAGCCAUAGAAACCGGGCAGCUAGAGUGCAGGAGAGGAUCGUGGAAGUCCAUGUGUAGCGGUGAAAUGCGUAGAGAUAUGGAGGAACACCAGUGGCGAAGGCGACGAUCUGGCCUGCAACUGACGCUCAGGCCCGAAAGCGUGGGGAGCAAAUAGGAUUAGAUACCCGGGUAGUC
rnacentral:rRNA from 1 species